rnacentral:rRNA from 1 species
GACGAACGCUGGCGGCGUGCUUAAUACAUGCAAGUCGAACGGACAGGCCAUGAUUUUGUGGGGUGCUCGAGUGGCGAACGGGUGUGAAACACGUGAGUAACCUGCCCUUGUCUUUGGGAUAACUUCAGGAAACUGGGGCUAAUACCGGAUAGGAGCUCCUGCUGCAUGGGGGGGGUUGGAAAGUUUCGGCGGUGGGGGAUGGACUCGCGGCUUAUCAGCUUGUUGGUGGGGUAGUGGCUUACCAAGGCUUUGACGGGUAGCCGGCCUGAGAGGGGGACCGGCCACAUUGGGACUGAGAGACGGCGCAGACUCCUACGGGAGGCAGCAGGGGGGAAUAUUGCACAAUGGGCGGAAGCCUGAUGCAGCAACGCCGCGUGCGGGAUGACGGCCUUCGGGUUGUAAACCGCUUUCGCCUGUGACGAAGCGUGAGUGACGGUAAUGGGUAAAGAAGCACCGGCUAACUACGUG